GCGAAAAGCUAGAAACUCCAAGGACUUGGCGGUGCUUCAAUCAACCUAGAGGAGCCUGUCCUAUAAUCGAUACUCCACGUUUUACCUUACCCCCUCUAGAAAUCAGCCUAUAUACCGCCGUCGGAAGCCUACCUUAUGAAAGAAACAAAGUAGGCAAAAUAGUUAACAACUAGUACGUCAGGUCAAGGUGUAGCAUAUGAGGAGGCAGAGAUGGGCUACAUUUUUAAAAAUAACACACGAAUAACAUGCUGAAAUACAUGUCUGAAGGCGGAUUUAGUAGUAAAAUAGACAAGAAAAGCUAUUUUAAACCUGCUCUGAAGCGCGC
rnacentral:rRNA from 1 species